CAUCCAACAUAUCUUAUGUUAAACUUAACCACUUUCUAUGCAGUGACUGUGGUGAGGUGAUCUAUUUUAUUUGACUACCCUCAAAGUAAUUCAUCUGGGUAGUUCUAAGGCUUAUCAGUGAUCAAAAUGUUUCUCCCUACAGUUACUCCUGCAUUCUCAAUCAGUUUCUUCUGCACAUCAUCUAAAGAAAAUUUAUGUGGAACUCCUUGCCUUUGCCGAUUGGAAGCAUUAACAAUUUCAUCCUUUCUACGUGACUGUACAAUGUGAAUAGACUCCAAGUGUCUAUCAAGAGCAGUAGAGAUAUUGGCAUGAAGAAGAGAGCUCCGAAGACGUUCCAUUUUGCCUAGUAAAGUCACAACCUGAGGGAAGCAUUUUAAUUUUUGAUAAGACAUGGAGCCACAUUGUUCUGCCAUUAAGUAAAAACAAAUCUUCAAUGAAGCAGAAUAGAGAUGAGAGCAAUAAUAUUCAUUCACUAAAUAAAUGAAUGCUUACUGUGUCCUAACACCAUGCUAAGGGAAACAAAGGAAGGUGUUUUCUAUCUACUUGUCUAUGUUAAUUCUAAAAAUAUUUGGUAGUUGAUUACUGAGAAUAAGCAUCAAUGAAAAUGUUAAAUAUUCAAACAUUACCAUGUCAUUAACAGUGCUAAUACAAGAGUUGAUACUGUUUUUGACAAAUUAGAGACCAGCCUGCAAACAGCAUUGUUAGGAAGUACUGUAAUCUAAUGGAAAAGAUUUUUCAGCUAAAAAGGGAAGUACUUGGUUGAUUAAUCCUGAUCUCAACAAGUCCUUAAUUUUUCUGGGCCUCAAUGUUCCCUUUUUGGAAAUCAGAAAUAUUCAGAUAAUAAUACUGACUAGUGACAGCUUUAAGGAAUCCAUAAUAUAGAAAAUAUUGAUUUAUGAAAUCCGGUGGGUUUAAAAAAAAAAGAAAAUAUUGAUUUAAAUUUACAUUAAAAUAAUACAAAAUGACUCCUGUAACUGUUAAAACUGCUAAAGAAAAUUAGGAUGCUUCUCAAUCCUCUGCUUAAAGAAACUUUUAAAAAGGCACUGAAUAUAUUAGAUCAGUAGGGGGAGUAUGUUUCAUAUGCCUAAUUUGUUUAAAAUUCAAAACUUGGAAAGUCUAUGGAAAGAUAACUUUUUGAAUAAUUGCAAUUUGAAGAUCAAGUAAGUACAAUAAUUGUCUUUGGGAGUUAAAUGAUUUAACAAUUGACAUUAGAACUUGGUGUUCACUGACUGGAGAAUAUAGGGGAAAAAAGCUUCUCAAGAAACUAAUGGCACUGGAAUUCAUGUUUUUCUAACCUCACACUCAUAUCAAGUUUCUUUGGAAUAAGUCUAUUCCAGAUGUUAAAUAUUUUCCUCUCAACUGUAUAUCAGCCAUAUCCUUCAAGG